rnacentral:rRNA from 1 species
CACCGCGGUUAUACGAGAGGCCCGAGUUGAUAGACACCGGCGUAAAAGGUGGUUAAGAUUAAAAUGAUACUAGGGCCAAACACCUUCCGAGCUGUUAUACGCACUCGAAGGCAGGAAGCACAACUACGAAAGUGGCCCUACACCCCCGAACCCACGAAAGCUAUGGUA